AAUGAAAGAGGGAGGCAGGCCUAACACAUGCAAGUCGAGCGGAUGAAGGGAGCUUGCUCUUGGAUUCAGCGGCGGACGGGUGAGUAAUGCCUAGGAAUCUGCCUGGUAGUGGGGGAUAACGUCCGGAAACGGGCGCUAAUACCGCAUACGUCCUGAGGGAGAAAGUGGGGGAUCUUCGGACCUCACGCUAUCAGAUGAGCCUAGGUCGGAUUAGCUAGUUGGUGGGGUAAAGGCCUACCAAGGCGACGAUCCGUAACUGGUCUGAGAGGAUGAUCAGUCACACUGGAACUGAGACACGGUCCAGACUCCUACGGGAGGCAGCAGUGGGGAAUAUUGGACAAUGGGCGAAAGCCUGAUCCAGCCAUGCCGCGUGUGUGAAGAAGGUCUUCGGAUUGUAAAGCACUUUAAGUUGGGAGGAAGGGCAGUAAGUUAAUACCUUGCUGUUUUGACGUUACCAACAGAAUAAGCACCGGCUAACUUCGUG
rnacentral:rRNA from 1 species